rnacentral:rRNA from 1 species
CGGCCAUAGCGCCGUGGAACCACCUGAUCCCAUGCCGAACUCAGAAGUGAAACGCGGUAGCGCCGAUGGUAGUGUGGCAUUCGCCAUGCGAGAGUAGGACACUG